GUCGAGAAUCUUUCACAAUGGGGGCAACCCUGAUGGAGCGACGCCGCGUGGAGGAUAAGGUCUUCGGAUUGUAAACUCCUGUCAUGCGUGAACAAGGUUGCUUGGAUAAUACAUGAGCAAAUUGAUGGUAGCGCAAGAGGAAGAGACGGCUAACUCUGUGCCAGCAGCCGCGGUAAUACAGAGGUCUCAAGCGUUGUUCGGAAUCACUGGGCGUAAAGGGUGCGUAGGAGGCGUGGCAAGUCAGAUGUGAAAGCCCGGGGCUCAACCUCGGAACUGCAUCCGAUACUGCCAUGCUAGAGUACUGGAGGGGUGACUAGAAUUCUCGGUGUAGCAGUGAAAUGCGUAGAUAUCGAGAGGAAUACCAAAGGCGUAGGCAGGUCACUGGACAGUUACUGACACUGAGGCACGAAGGCCAGGGGAGCGAACGGGAUUAGAAACCCUUGUAGUCC
rnacentral:rRNA from 1 species